rnacentral:rRNA from 1 species
ACCGUUGAAAGACGGACUAAUGCCCUAUGCAGUCCUUUGACGGCAUCAGAUUAGGACUAAAGAUUCAUCGGUAUGGGAUGGGGAUGCGUCUGAUUAGCUUGUUGGCGGGGUAACGGCCCACCAAGGCAUCGAUCAGUAGGGGUUCUGAGAGGAAGGUCCCCCACAUAGGAACUGAGACACGGUCCUA